GGUGGUUUGUCGCGUCGUCUGUGAAAUUCCGGGGCUUAACUCCGGGCGUGCAGGCGAUACGGGCAUAACUUGAGUACUGUAGGGGUAACUGGAAUUCCUGGUGUAGCGGUGAAAUGCGCAGAUAUCAGGGGGAACACCGAUGGCGAAGGCAGGUUACUGGGCAGUUACUGACGCUGAGGAGCGAAAGCAUGGGUAGCGAACAGGAUUAGAUACCCUGGUAGUCCAUGCCGUAAACGGUGGGCGCUAGGUGUGAGGGUCUUUUCACGACUUUCGUGCCGUAGCUAACGCAUUAAGCGCCCCGCCUGGGGAGUACGGCCGCAAGGCUAAAACUCAAAGGAAUUGACGGGGGCCCGCACAAGCGGCGGAGCAUGUGGAUUAAUUCGAUGCAACGCGAAGAACCUUACCUGGGCUUGACAUACACCAGAUCGCUGCAGAGAUGUAGUUUCCCUUUGUGGCUGGUGUACAGGUGGUGCAUGGUUGUCGUCAGCUCGUGUCGUGAGAUGUUGGGUUAAGUCCCGCAACGAGCGCAACCCUUGUCUUAUGUUGCCAGCAUUUGGUUGGGGACUCAUGAGAGACUGCCGGGGUCAACUCGGAGGAAGGUGGGGAUGACGUCAAAUCAUCAUGCCCCUUAUGUCCAGGGCUUCACACAUGCUACAAUGGUCGGUACAACGCGCAGCGACACUGUGAGGUGGAGCGAAUCGCUGAAAGCCGGCCUUAGUUCGGAUUGGGGUCUGCAACUCGACCCCAUGAAGUCGGAGUCGCUAGUAAUCGCAGAUCAGCAAUGCUGC
rnacentral:rRNA from 1 species